CGCGCACGUUCAAGCCUUUGCAAAAUAGCGGAUUCAUUUUCCGUACCGCGACCUCUAAGUCGAACUUCCAAUUGCUCAAUGCUAGGCGGUGCUAAGAAGACGUAUUGGGCAUCAAUUGGGCUAGCCUUUACUUGAAGAACGCCUUGUAGAUCAAUGUCUAAGAUAGCCUUCUUGUUAACAGCUUCCAAUUCUUGAAUAGCCAUAAUAGAUGUACCAUACAUGUUACCAGAGAAGACAGCCCAUUCAACAAACUUCUCUUCCGCGACAAGCUUUUGAAACUCUUCUUUGGUAACGAAAUGAUAAUCUAUCCCAUCUUUUUCGCCUGCACGAGGAGUUCUGGUAGUGUGAGAAACGCUAAAUCCAAGUUUAUCGCCGUGAUCUUUUAAUAAUCGCUUUAAUAACGUAGAUUUUCCCACACCAGAAGGACCGAAAACUACAACGGGUUUCAGUUUCAACGUGACCAAUUUAGAGGCCACCGACGAUGAAAGUUGGGGAGUCAUGGUAAAAAGGAUUGUAAAAUUUUUUGCGAAAAACGCAAAAUUUCAAACACGAAGAGUCCUAAAACUAAGAUUUCAGCUCUUACCUCCAAGUCAAGGCUUAUGGGUUUUAGACCAAAGCAAGUCACAUAGAAGAUCUGUUAAUUUAUAGUAAGCACUUUUGUGACUUGACCAUUAAAAAACGGCUGUUUGCUAAAGUACCUUGGACUACCUUAGAAAAAAAAAUUUUUUACAUUUACACCUUUAUGAUUGCUAGUUGUACUCAAU